GUUGAGACACCCAAGUAAUCCUGCACCACUCCUAAAAUUUUCAGAAUCCUCAGAAUCAGGAUCAGGGCCCCUAAAACUCAGGGGGGGGGGGGUAUUCCCCACUUGACGAUUAUCCAUAAUAAUUUGCUGUCAAAAUUUGAAAUUAUCAUUUCAUCGAAUCAGCUAACCUAUCAAUGCACGUAGCAAGCCUAUGACGAAUCGUGGCCCGUCGCGUCACGCGGCGCCCCCUAUGGACCCCUCGCGUCACGCGAGAGGGUCAAUUUUCAGCUAUAAAUAGCUUGGUUCACAAGCUGUUCGUCUGUGUCAAAACUAAUUCACAAAAGUGAAUUCUCACCACUCAAAAUUCAAAUUUAAGAUAUCGGGGUACUGCUACGAUACCGGGUAUUAACUUGAUCGCUGCUACGAUUCAAUAUCCGAUCAACUGAAACUAUCCAACAGGAUGUUUAAGUGUUAUCCUUUGUCAUUAAUCGUGAUUCCGACAGGAUGUUUGAGUGCCGCCCAAACUCGGGGUGGACUCUGUCAUUCGUUGUGAAUCCGAUGGAUGUUUAAGUGAUUUCAUUUUGUCAUUCGUCGUGAGGGUUUUAGUCUCGUGAAUUUAUCGUAAAUGCUGUAUUAGUUAUUUACCUAGUUUUGUGUGCAUUAUCGCUUAAAUUAGGUUAUCAGGCUUAUCAUUAGACUAAACACUACCCCUUACACUUACAAUCAAAGUAGAUGCUAAUUCUCAAAACAAUCUGAAUCAUGAAGCUUGUCAAUUCAAUACUGCAUGUUUAUAAUGUAAUUACAGUAGAUUGGAGUAAGAAUUGGAUCCGGCACUGAAGGACUUCAAGAAGUGGCUUAUUUUAUUAAUUAAAUCAACUUAAAAAAAAUAUUGUUUUUGGGUUUAUCCCGUAUUAAAAGCUACCUUUGUAAAACAUGGAAUUUAU
rnacentral:lncRNA from 1 species